UGCCAAGUCACAUCAUCCUCCCACACUUUUAGGGAGAACUUCAUUAAAUUGUGCAGUUUUGAAAGAUUUCCCCCAAACAUUCACAUCACAAGAUACCUUUACAUCAAGAUGUUUUGGUUUAGACAUUUGCUCCUGCACCUCUGGUUUUUGGGAUGUCUUUACUUGGCAACACAAGCUUGGCGCGUUGACAUGCCAAGAAAUAUCAAAGGAUUGUUGAAUUCCUGCCUCGUUAUCCCUUGUAGCUUURACUACMAU